rnacentral:lncRNA from 1 species
GAGCAGACUUCUUCCAAGAGAAAGUCUUUUGGAAAGAAAAAGAAGUCUGUGAAGAAGCAGAAGGUGGAUGGGAAGAAGAAGAAGACAGAACCGAAGAAGAAGGCUGCUAAAAAGAAAAAAUAUUUUCACUGCCAAUCAGAUGGCCAUUGGAAACGGAACUGUCCUCAGUACCUGACCACCAUGAAGAAUAAGAAGGAUGGUCCUUCUGGAGGUAUGCUCAUUUUAGAAUCAAAUCUUAUGGUUUCUUCUGCAUCCAG